UCUAGGGCACUUUUGGAGAAACUGUGUAGGCUUCUAGGAUAAGCCUACUAGAAACCUUAUGAUAUUAUUUUUCCACAAUAAAUUCUUGGUGCUACUCCCUGUAUAUCAGAGGUUAUAAUCACUCCUGAGCACAACGAAGAAGGGAUUUACACGAUCAGAUUCUACAUUCAGAUUACAACGUCAAUAACAGGCCCAGUGAAUGCUGAAAGAUGCGCUUUCAUAGAAGAAACUAAGCUCUCAAGAUGGUGGCAGAAUUAACUCCUUUCCUGUUAUGUUUAGGUUUCAAGGACAGCCUCUGUAUAAGCUCAGACCAAGCAAAUUCCGUGCAGCAAUUGAGGAGGCUUUCCUUGCUGAACGUGGUUUUUUUUAUCUCCAAACGGAUGAGGUAUGCUCACCGCGAAAGUCUGUAAAUAAGCAGUCUGAUCCUAUUGGUUUUCAGGAAGAGGCUGCUUCAAAUAACGAGCAAGAAUGCCAAUCUGAGUCUCAGGUUGUUGGCAAAGGGAAAGAUCAUUCCUUACUUAACCCAUCCAUAGUCCCUGCCAUGCCCGUUAGCAGGAUUUUGAUUGUGGUUGCAGGACUGUGGAUCCUUUCUGUCCAUGGGAGCUGCUGCAAUUUUCUCACCUUGUCUUACAUAGUGCUGGUCUUGUACGAGGUCACCCUCAGAUGAACUUUAGUGAUUGCUCCCAGGCGCGGCAUGCAUGCUUUGCUUUAUUCACAUGAUCGAGUUCCCCUCACGUCCACGCUCUAUCCGAUGCCACGAGAGUUUUCCAGAAGCAAGUCCACGGAUUGUGUGUUCAGCAAAUAAGUAAACCACAUUGCCGCCGGGUCCACGAGGGAGAAAGGAAACACGAGCAUUGUUUCCUCCGUCGACGACAGAGCUCCGUUCGUCUCCCCCUCAGUUUGACAGCCUCGCUCUGUCUUCUCUCCUCAAUCGCGUGCUUACUCUUCAGCAUUUACUCCUUAGUAGAAAUUGCCGACCACCGCCGCACCUUGAAGACCGCCGUGCUGUUCGUCGUGGUGGCCCGUCUCAGGCAACGACGACUACGUCGGUCGUGGCCUCAAAGACCUCCCGCCACCGCUGUGACUUGAAGCCCUCCUCCAUGCCAAUCAAGGAAUAUCGGCCACCGCUGUGCCUUGAAGAGGUACCCCCGGUUACCACAUGUCGAAGACCUCUCGGAGCACUUUGCCUACUUGCUUAACAUCUUCCUGGCAUAUUGAAAGUGAUGCAGCGAUUCAUGGUGAACGACAUCCAUAACAGAGACGGGUUUGUCCUCGGAACCUCAAGAGGAGGGCAUGACACUGCGAAAAUCAUUGAUUGUCUUCAGGACCGUGAUACUAACCAGAUUUAUAUUAUCGAAGGCGAUGGCAUUCAGAAAGGUGAUUGACAAGUCAUUUGGAUUUCACGCUGCUGUGGAGGAGGCCCAAAGGGCCCUCAAUGCCGCUCAUGUCGAGGCUGAAAGUGUAGACAAUGGCAUUGGUGUUGUGAAGCUAAUGGGUCACAACUGUUGUUUUACUGCAGUGUGCUUCUCUAGCUAGCCGUUAUGUGGAUUGUUGUUUAAUCCCAGAGUCACCCUUCUACCUCGAAGGGAAGAGACGACUCCUCGAGUUCAUUUAGAGACGACGUGAGGACAAGGGUCAUGUGGUUCAUCGUGCUGGCUGAGGGUGCUGAUCAGGACCUCAUCGUGAGAAGUAUGAAUUUCAUGGACACCUAAGAUGCUUCUGGAGAUAAACUGCUUCUAGAUGGCUGCCUUUGGCUAUUCUAGAAGAUAAAGGCUAGGCUUAUGGUCCAAACCUUCGUCUCCUUCUCAAUGUGGUGGCAGAGAACAUUGUUAUUGCCUUCAUCUACCAUUCAGUUUGCUUUAUUAUUAUUAUUAUAAAAUAGAUGAUCCCUAUUGAUCAAUAUGUCUUGACUACUAAUAUCUCUAUAUGUUUAUAUCAACAACCUUUAUAGUGUUAUAUAUAUAUAUAUAUAUAUGUGAACACAUUGACCACAGACUCGCGCUUCGCGCGAGCCCAUGUGGGGAUUUCAGCUC